UGGGGAAUAUUGCACAAUGGGUGAAAGCCUGAUGCAGCGACGCCGCGUGAGGGAUGACGGCCUUCGGGUUGUAAACCUCUUUCAGCAGGGACGAAGCGCAAGUGACGGUACCUGCAGAAGAAGCACCGGCUAACUACGUGCCAGCAGCCGCGGUAAUACGUAGGGUGCAAGCGUUGUCCGGAAUUACUGGGCGUAAAGAGUUCGUAGGCGGUUUGUCGCGUCGUUUGUGAAAACCAGCAGCUCAACUGCUGGCUUGCAGGCGAUACGGGCAGACUUGAGUACUGCAGGGGAGACUGGAAUUCCUGGUGUAGCGGUGAAAUGCGCAGAUAUCAGGAGGAACACCGGUGGCGAAGGCGGGUCUCUGGGCAGUAACUGACGCUGAGGAACGAAAGCGUGGGUAGCGAACAGG
rnacentral:rRNA from 1 species